rnacentral:rRNA from 1 species
GCGCACGCUGGCGGCAGGCCUAACACCUGCAAGUCGCACGAACCUUUCGGGGUUAGUGGCGGACGGGUGAGUAACACGUGGGAACGUGCCUUUAGGUUCGGAAUAACUCAGGGAAACUUGUGCUAAUACCGAAUGUGCCCUUCGGGGGAAAGAUUAAUCGCCUUUAGAGCGGCCCGCGUCUGAUUAGCUAGUUGGUUGAGGUAAUGGCUCACCAAGGCGACGAUCAGUAGCUGGUCUGAGAGGAUGAUCAGCCACAUUGGGACUGAGACACGGCCCAAACUCCUACGGGAGGCAGCAGUGGGGAAUCUUGCGCAAUGGGCGAAAGCCUGACGCAGCCAUGCCGCGUGAAUGAUGAAGGUCUUAGGAUUGUAAAAUUCUUUCACCGGGGACGAUAAUGACGGUACCCGGAGAAGAAGCCCCGGCUAACUUCGUG